rnacentral:rRNA from 1 species
UGAAUACGAGAUGCUACGGCGUCGAAGCAGUCUGUGUCAUACUUCCAAGAAAAGCUUGCACUGUCAUAAACAAAUAAUGCCUGUACCAUAACCGACACAGGUGGGUAGGUAGAGUAUACUAAGGGGCGCGAGAUAACUCUCUCUAAGGAACUCGGCAAAAUGACUCCGUAACUUCGGGAGAAGGAGUGCCUUAUUUAUAAGGUUGCAAUAACAAGAUCCAAGCAACUGUUUACCAAAAACACAGGUCUCCGCGAAGUCGUAAGACGAUGUAUGGGGGCUGACGCCUGCCCAGUGCCAGAAGGUUAAAGAAGUUGGUUAGCAUUCGCGAAGCUGAUAACUGAAGCCCUGGUGAACGGCGGCCGUAACAAUAACGGUCCUAAGGUAGCGAAAUUCUUUGUCGGGUAAGUUCCGACCCGCACGAAAGGCGUAAUGAUUUGGAUACUGUCUCGGAGAGGGGCUCGGUGAAAUAGACUUGUCUGUGAAGAUGCGGACUACCUGCACCUGGACAGAAAGACCCUAUGAAGCUUUACUGUAACUUGAAAUUGAAAUUGGACUUUAUUUGCGCAGUAUAGGUGGGAGGCGUUGAAGAUAUUCUUGCGGGAUUAUUGGAGCCAUCAGUGAGAUACCACUCUUGUAAUGUUAGAUUUCUAACUUUGUAUCAUUAUCUGGUCAAAGAACAGUUUCAGGCGGGCAGUUUGACUGGGGCGGUCGCCUCCCAAACGGUAACGGAGGCGCACAAAGGUUUCCUCUGAACGGGUAGAAAUCGUAUCUAGAGUGUAAAGGCAUAAGGAAGCUUGACUGUGAGACCUACAAGUCGAGCAGGGACGAAAGUCGGUCUUAGUGAUCCGACGGUGCUGAGUGGAAAGGCCGUCACUCAACGGAUAAAAGUUACUCUAGGAUAACAGGCUGAUCUCCCCCAAGGGUUCACAUCGACGGGGAGGUUUGGCACCUCGAUGUCGGCUCAUCGCAUCCUGGGGCGGUAGUACGUCCCAAGGGUUGGGCUGUUCGCCCAUGAAAGCGGUACGCGAGCUGGGUUCAGAACGUCGUGAGACAGUUCGGUCCAUAUCCGGUGUAGGCGUUAGAAUAUUGAGAGGAGCCUUCUCUAGUACGAGAGGACCGAGAAGGACAUACCUCUGGUGUACCAGUUAUCGUGCCAACGGUAAACGCUGGGUAGCUAUGUAUGGAGAGGAUAACCGCUGAAAGCAUCUAAGUGGGAAGCCCACCUCAAGAUAAG